ACUGAAAAGCCUGCUUCGCAGGUGAGGCUCGUACCGUCUCUGGUAUUUCUUUCUUCAACAGCAAGACGAACGAAUAUUGAACAAGUAUGGAAGAGAGACGGGUCAAUUAGCUAGUAGACAGGAGCUUUAUUUUUUUCACCAAGCCGUGAAGAUUGCUUAAAGAAGGGAAAUUGAUUUUUUUGAAGGGCAAUAAUCUGGUGCACACAAGCUCACGGUGUGCUUCUGGUUUUGUGGGGCGAAUUAGUUGCAAGCGAGAAUGGUUGAGUUUCUUUUUGAAGAUAUUUUUAGGAUUGAGCGACUCGACCCAGAUGGUAAAAAGUUUGAUAAAGGGCAAUCGGCAGUCACUUGCAGACAGAUUUGAUUACGUCAUGUACGGGAAACUGUAUAGAAUUUCCGAUUGGUUCAGGACGUGGAACUAAAGCGUAUGUAUAACUACUUUUCAGGCAUUAAUUCUUUGUACGAGUCUUGGAGUCUCUUAUACAUGUUUACUGUUGAUGACUAAGGAAAAAUGCAAAUAAUAAUUAAUCUUUAUAGUUGCUGUUGAUUCAAAAGUAUAGCUCACCUAAGCGUGCAUAAUCCAAUUAAAAG